rnacentral:rRNA from 1 species
GAUGAACGCUGGCCGCGUGCCUAAUACAUGCAAGUCGAGCGAACGGACGCGACGCUUGUUUCUCUGUUGUUAGCGGCGCACGUGUGAGUCACACGUGGAUAACCUACCUAUCUUUCUGGUAUAACUUCGGGAAACCGGCUCUUAUACCGGAUAAUCUUUUGCACCGCAUGGUUCAUAAGUGAAAUACGGUCUUUCUGUCACUUCUAGAUGGUUCCGCGCUGCAUGAGCUAGUUGUUAAGGUCACGGCUUACCAAGGCAACGAUGCAUAGACGACCUGAGAGGCUGAUAGGCGACACUGGAACUGAGACACGGUCAAGACGACUAAGAGAGGCAGCAGUAGGGAAUGUGACGCAAUGGGCGAAAGCAUGACGGAGCGACGCCGCGUGAGAGAUGAAGGUCUUCGGAGCGUAAAAAUGUGUUACGAGGGAAGAACAUAUGUGGAAGGAAAUGUGCAGAGAGUGACGGUAACUAAUCAGAAAGCAACGGCUAACUACGUG